AUACCACUGAAUAGCAACGCGAUUACUCUCAAAAAAAGAAUGAUUUUUUUCGCUAUUCGGUUCAGUUUCCCUGGUGUUGGCGCAAUCUUCGCGCACCCCGGUUUAUCC
rnacentral:sRNA from 1 species